rnacentral:rRNA from 1 species
AACGAACGCUGGCGGCAGGCCUAAUACAUGCAAGUCGAACGCCCCGCAAGGGGAGUGGCGCACGGGUGAGUAACGCGUGGGAAUGUACCCUUCAGUGCGGAACAACGUCGGGAAACUGACGCUAAUACCGCAUAAUGUCUUCGGACCAAAGAUUUAUCGCUGAAGGAUCAGCCCGCGUCAGAUUAGGUAGUUGGUGAGGUAACGGCUCACCAAGCCUACGAUCUGUAGCUGGUCUGAGAGGAUGAUCAGCCACACAGGGACUGAGACACGGCCCAGACUCCUACGGGAGGCAGCAGUAAGGAAUAUUGGACAAUGGAGGAAACUCUGAUCCAGCCAUGCCGCGUGAGUGAAGAAGGCCUUCGGGUUGUAAAGCUCUUUCAGAUGUGAAGAUAAUGACGGUAUCCGGAGAAGAAGCCCCGGCUAACUUCGUGCCAGCCGCCGCAGUAA